GUAUACUUGUCCCCUUUGUGUAUUGCUGCUAAUCUUUCUCUUUCUAGGUUCUGUUGGUUGCAUGCAGAUUGUGCCAGAUGAUUUAUCUGUCUAUGGUCUAAGCAUGGGCUCUGUGCUAAUAUGCAAUUUGUGCUCUUUUUUCCCUCAGGUCAACAGCAGACAGGGUCCUUCCACAACCACAUACUUAUGCCAGUAAAAGCCACAGCUUUUCUCCUCCAAUCCAAGAAGCCUGGACUGCAGUCACCAUCUCAACACACCAACCAAGAGAAAGGCGGAUGGCUCAAUUCAAUAUGGAAAAUUGCACAAUAAAAGUUCCAGGACAUGAAGGCUGCAUACUGUGAACGUCAACCUUCAGGGCACCGUCCUGCGCAGAAGACUUUCUACCCUAAGAGGGAUGGCUGACCGCAGACACUCACAACCAGCACAGACGCCUCCAACCUCAGACUAGGCCCUUCACAGUUGCUGCACUUACCCACCUUCCCAGAGUUUUUGUGUGGUAAUGACAACUGUAAAUAUAGUAUAAAGUAAUGUAUCUAGUGUCAUGUAUAAUACAUUG